UACGUAGGGGGCAAGCGUUAUCCGGAUUUACUGGGUGUAAAGGGAGCGUAGACGGCACUGCAAGUCUGGAGUGAAAGCCCGAGGCCCAACCACGGGACUGCUCUGGAAACUGCGGGGCUGGAGUGCAGGAGGGGUAAGCGGAAUUCCUAGUGUAGCGGUGAAAUGCGUAGAUAUUAGGAGGAACACCAGUGGCGAAGGCGGCCUGCUGGACGAUGACUGACGUUGAGGCUCGAAAGCGUGGGGAGCAAACAGG
rnacentral:rRNA from 1 species